AUGGCGUGUCGUUCGCUUUUUAUGAUCAUUAUCUGGGCAACCGUCAAAAACGCGGUAAGCUUCGUUAAAAAAGAAAAAAAAAGGCUCGGGGAGGCGGCGGCGUGGAGCGCGUGAUGGUUUUGUUGGGAGGCCAAUGGAUCGUCCCUCUGCAAAUGCUCCUAGAUCGAGUUUUUUGACGAUCGGGGAGAGGCUAUGCGCGGCGUUCAUCCCGUUCAUAGCCAUCGUGGAGGCGAUCAUCUACGUCGUCACGGAUUGCUUCGACCACCGCCCGCCCGCCCUUGUCCACCGCUCUGGCAAGAAGACCUGCAGUGACGUCGCCCGCCUCGCCGAUGACUCCCGUUGCUUUACGGUGAAUGAGGUGGAAGCGUUGUACGAGCUGUACAAGAAGUUGAGCAGCUCCAUCAUUGACGACGGACUCAUCCACAAGGAAGAACUUCAGCUAGCACUUUUCAAGAGUUCAUCUGGCGAAAAUCUUUUUCUUGAUAGAGUUUUUGAUCUUUUUGAUGAAAAGAAAAAUGGUGUUAUUGAGUUUGAGGAGUUUAUACAUGCACUCAGUGUCUUCCAUCCAAAUGCUGCUCUGGAUGACAAAAUUGACUUUGCUUUCAGGUUGUAUGAUUUGAGACAAACUGGGUACAUUGAGCGUGAAGAAGUUAAGCAAAUGGUGAUUGCUAUCAUGAUGGAGUCAGAUAUGAAAUUGUCUGACGACCUUCUUGAAGCCAUAAUAGAUAAGACUUUUGCAGAUGCUGAUGCUGACAGUGAUGGUAAAAUUAACAAAGAGGAAUGGAAGGACUUUGUCCUGCAACACCCUUCUCUUUUGAAGAAUAUGACUCUUCCUUAUCUGAAGUAUGAAUUUGACGUCAUAUGCUGCUUAGAUCUGUAUACCUUAUAACCUUUUUUCUCUAUAUUUUAUAACCUUUUUUCGACUUCAUAUGCUCAUUAGACUGGUCACAAGAUUGGAUCUGCAUGUGAACAUUCAUAACAAGGGACAUCACUACGGUGUUCCCUAGUUUUGUCUUCAACACUGAGGUUGAAGAUUAAAUCAAGGUGGCACAAAUCUUGUGUGCAACGAAGAGUAUGACCAUCAUGGAAUGCAUUGGGCACUUUUGCGGUGGGGCUUUCACCCUCGAUAAGCUGUUGAUAAAAAUCAAAGCACUUCCCUUCGGGAAGAUAUUGAUUGAGAUCAGAGCAAUGCACUGCCUAUCUAUUCAAACCUGCAAGCUGCAUGCGAGACGAGGUUGUUUGCACCCUUCAAAUUUCUGGUCGUGCACUGCCAUUCUUGCAUAAUUGGUCCUCUGUAAUGUACAAAAUUCUAUAAUUAUUUACUGUAAUUUACAGUAAAAUGCCUCUUCAGUUAUCAUCUGUACAUUGUUUUGUUGCCUAUUUUGUUUAGCAAGGAGCUGAGAAGUUUAGGUAGCAUUCGUGAUGAGAUAGGUGGAAUGUGUAUCUGCAGAUUGUGCUAAAAGUGCUUUUACAGUUUUUGAGUUCCUCCAACCACAAUCCC